GUCCACGCCGUAAACGAUGAGUGCUAGCUGCUGGGAUACUUCUUUUCUCGGUGGCGUAGCUAACGCGUUAAGCACUCCGCCUGGGGAGUACGGCCGCAAGGCUAAAACUCAAAGGAAUUGACGGGGGCCCGCACAAGCGGUGGAGUAUGUGGUUUAAUUCGAUGCAACGCGAAGAACCUUACCUGGGUUUGACAUCCCGGAACCUGGCCGAAAGGUUGGGUGCCAUCGCAAGAUGGAGCCGGAGACAGGUGCUGCAUGGCUGUCGU
rnacentral:rRNA from 1 species